rnacentral:rRNA from 1 species
UACGUAGGGCGCAAGCGUUAUCCGGAAUUAUUGGGCGUAAAGAGCUCGUAGGCGGUUUGUCGCGUCUGCCGUGAAAGUCCGGGGCUCAACUCCGGAUCUGCGGUGGGUACGGGCAGACUAGAGUGAUGUAGGGGAGACUGGAAUUCCUGGUGUAGCGGUGAAAUGCGCAGAUAUCAGGAGGAACACCGGUGGCGAAGGCGGCCUGCUGGGAUCUUGCUGACGCUGAGGCGCGACAGCGUGGGGAGCGAACAGG